rnacentral:rRNA from 1 species
UACGGAGGGGGCUAACGUUGUUCGGAAUUACUGGGCGUAAAGCGCGCGUAGGCGGAUUAGACAGUUGAGGGUGAAAUCCCGGAGCUUAACUCCGGAACUGCCUUCAAUACUACUAAUCUUGAGUUCGGAAGAGGUGAGUGGAAUUCCUAGUGUAGAGGUGAAAUUCGUAGAUAUUAGGAAGAACAUCAGUGGCGAAGGCGACUCACUGGUCCGAUACUGACGCUGAGGUGCGAAAGCGUGGGGAGCAAACAGG